rnacentral:misc_RNA from 1 species
GUCUUCAAAUAUUUCCAGUCGAUCUAUGCUGUUACGCGAAGCCAGAGUCUUGCGGUUAAUCUAAUUUCCAUAAAAUGGAAAUCGCUAUCGGGUUUCGAUUUUUUCCUGGAAGUAUCUUUUAAAAAAAAAAAAAACAUUUAUUGCAAAUCAGCAACGAUUCAACGUACGAAACAGUUACGAAAUAACCAGGAACAAAAAUUCGUCUGUACGACAAGACUUCGUCGGUAUUCCCGUGACAUUGAAGCGUUUGAAGAUCUCUACGAAGAUUCCAUUUUUUUUUCUCUCUUACAGCGUUAUUAAUAGACACAAGUUGUUCGUCGCAUAAUUCUCAAUAGAUUGACUGGCUAGAACCAGUGUGAGAAAAAAAGAAAAUGAUACUCUGCAAUAAUGUGCACGUAUACCAAAUUUUCCUGGAAUGUUGGAAUACGUUUACAUAUAGUAGAGGUAAAUAGAUUGUCAAUAAUGCAGAAAUUAUAUUCUUAAACUUUGUAUGUAUCAUGUACAUAAAUUUUAGAAAUAUUUUCAAUGGAUCCACUAAUGUGUCUAAUUCGUACGUUCUACCCUGUAUACAUAUAAUGUUUCCAUCGCAUUCGUCCAGACAAAAUGCAAUAUUCGAAAAAGCUUCUCACAUUGGCGGCGCCUAUGGACUCGUUUAUUUAUAGUACGCCACGAUGUCUCGACAUCGGAGUGUAAACAUGUCGGUCUCCAUCUUUGUUGCAGAAAUAUUAAUAAACUAGACAAACGUCUCUGUAUAGGCAAUAGAGUGCGUACUCUUGGAUUCAUCGAAGAUGCUUGCACUUGCCACCAUGCCAUAUUAUUACGGGGUCUUAAUUCUAUUGUUAUCCUAGGGGGAAGUUUAAUUUCUUCUUGCCAAUCU